UUGUUCAGGUGAACACUGCUUGCUCAGGUGAGAGCAGUUUGUUCAGGUGAACUCUGCUUGCUCAUGUGAGAGCAGUUUGUUCAGUUGAACUCUGCUUGCUCAGGUGAGCGCUGUUUGUUCAGAUGAACACUGCUUGCUCAGGUGAGCGCUGUUUGUUCAGAGGAACACUGCUUGCUCAGGUGAGCGCAGUUUGUUCAGAGGAACACUGCUUGCUCAGGUGAGAGCAGUUUGUUCAGGUGAACUCUGCUUGCUCAGGUGAGAGCAGUUUGUUCAGGUGAACUCUGCUUUCUCAGGUGAGAGCAGUUUUCUCAGGUAGACGCUCUCUGCUCUUGAGCAUUGUUCUGCUGGUGGAGGAACUUUGGCUCCAUCUCCUCCUCUUAUAACAGGCUCUCUUACACCAGGGGCACCCCAAAACCAUGUUAAUAGGUUUGGGAGGUAUGACGCUUCCUGUGAGACUGUUCCUCAUGUACUGGGGUGCUAGUGGCUCUCCUGCACCCUGCUGGUCAGCCCUGGUACUGUGGCCUCCCCUCCCCAUCACCUGUGCUCUUAACAAUGGUCAUUGCCAAGGCAACGGCUGGAGGCUUCAUCCGGUCCAACUGUGAGCUCCUUCACAGCAGUGAAGUACUGUACUGACCCUUAAAGAGACAUCCUAUCCACUAAUACUGUUCCCUAUCCGGUAACACAUAGCUCCAGCCUAUCCACUAACACAGAGCUGACUAUGCUGCUGUCUAUCCACUAACAAUGCUGCUCCCUAUGCACUAACUCAGUGCUGCUCCCUAUCCACUAACAAUGCUGCUCCCUAUUCACUACACAGAGCUGCUCUCUAUCCACAAGCACAGCACUACUCCCUAAUAGUGCUGCUCCUUGUCUACUAGCAAUUUUUCUCCCAGUCCAUUAACACAGAGCUGCUCCCUAUCCACUAAGCCAGAGCUGCUCCCUAUCCCCUAAGCCAGAGCUGCUCUCUAUCCAUUAACACAGAGCAGCUCCCUAUCCACUACCACCAAGCUGCUCUCUUUGCUCUGUGCUUGGGGUUAUUUUACAUGCCCAUUCUGCUGUUGGAGCUGCAUUUGGUUCUGGUUCUGGAUGACUGGUGGUUUGUCCGACUGGGCUGUGGAUAACCCUUCUCUAGCAGCAUUGGGAACAUCUAACUGGGCUGAGACAGAACCAUCAGCACCAGCGCAAAAGCAAAGGACAGGGUUUUGUUAGGGAUUAGGAUGUCUCUGAAUUUACUUUUUUUUUGGUUCAGUAUGAAACUCUGUAUUCAUGUAUUUCUUAUGUAUUAUCAUCUGGUACUGUACUGUGCAUAUUGGAAAUACUGCAAUAUCUUUCUCUUGUGUCAAACAUUUAGGACAAUAUUGAUAAGAAUAGAUUAAAACAGCAUGCAUAUUGGCAGUGUUGCCUUACAUAUUUUUUGGGUUAUUUACAGUAACAAAGUUAAGAAUAAAAGUAUUUAAGGACAUAUACUAAAUAAGAUUAUUUAUAUUACAGUAAAUGUUUUAAGGAAUUAUUCUACUCAGAGUUUAAUAUAAAUGAUGGAGAUCUAAAGGAAUAGUCUUAGUUUAAUGUUAAUGAAUAAGAUCACAAAGGAAUGGUCUCAGUUUCAUGUAAAUUACUUGAAUCAAAAAUAGUCUCUGUUUAAUGUUAAUGACUAAGAUCAGAAAAGAAUAGUCUCAGUUUAAUGUCUAAGAUCAGAAACUGCCGAAACCUUUAUUUUAGCUGAAGUCCUUUACAGCUCAAAACACCACCUGGUCAGGAACCUUGCUAAUGUAUUAGUACAUAUUUAGGAUUAAUAAUGUCAGUGUACAGUUUUGUCUUCCUAAUGUUACAGCUACCAUGGAAGUUUUUACUGUCAAAUUAAUAAACUGACUGAACCAUC